rnacentral:rRNA from 1 species
CGUGCGGCAGCUAUACAUGCAGUCGACGAGUUCUCGUUGAUGAUCGGUGCUUGCACCGAGAUUCAACAUGGAACGAGUGGCGGACGGGUGAGUAACACGUGGGUAACCUGCCCUUAAGUGGGGGAUAACAUUUGGAAACAGAUGCUAAUACCGCAUAGAUCCAAGAACCGCAUGGUUCUUGGCUGAAAGAUGGCGUAAGCUAUCGCUUUUGGAUGGACCCGCGGCGUAUUAGCUAGUUGGUGAGGUAAUGGCUCACCAAGGCGAUGAUACGUAGCCGAACUGAGAGGUUGAUCGGCCACAUUGGGACUGAGACACGGCCCAAACUCCUACGGGAGGCAGCAGUAGGGAAUCUUCCACAAUGGACGCAAGUCUGAUGGAGCAACGCCGCGUGAGUGAAGAAGGCUUUCGGGUCGUAAAACUCUGUUGUUGGAGAAGAAUGGUCGGCAGAGUAACUGUUGUCGGCGUGACGGUAUCCAACCAGAAAGCCACGGCUAACUACGUGCCAGCAGCCGCGGUAAUACGUAGGUGGCAAGCGUUAUCCGGAUUUAUUGGGCGUAAAGCGAGCGCAGGCGGUUUUUUAAGUCUGAUGUGAAAGCCCUCGGCUUAACCGAGGAAGCGCAUCGGAAACUGGGAAACUUGAGUGCAGAAGAGGACAGUGGAACUCCAUGUGUAGCGGUGAAAUGCGUAGAUAUAUGGAAGAACACCAGUGGCGAAGGCGGCUGUCUGGUCUGUAACUGACGCUGAGGCUCGAAGCAUGGGUAGCGAACAGGAUUAGAUACCCUGGUAGUCCAUGCCCGUAACGAUGAUUGCUAGUGUGGAGGUUUCCGCCUCUUCAGUGCCGCAGCUAACGCAUAAGGCAUUCCCGCCCUUGGGGGGGAGUACGGA